UUCGAUUAGAGUUUGAUCAUGGCUCAGGACGCAUUCUGGCGGCGUGCUUAACACAUGCAAGUCGAACGGUGACGAGGAGCUUGCUCCUCUGAUCAGUGGCGAACGGGUGAGUAACACGUGAGUAACCUGCCCCAGACUCUGGGAUAACAGUUGGAAACAGCUGCUAAUACCGGAUACGAGACGGAGAGGCAUCUCUACCGUCUGGAAAGUUUUUCGGUCUGGGAUGGACUCGCGGCCUAUCAGCUUGUUGGUGAGGUAAUGGCUCACCAAGGCGACGACGGGUAGCCGGCCUGAGAGGGCGACCGGCCACACUGGGACUGAGACACGGCCCAGACUCCUACGGGAGGCAGCAGUGGGGAAUAUUGCACAAUGGGCGAAAGCCUGAUGCAGCGACGCCGCGUGAGGGAUGACGGCCUUCGGGUUGUAAACCUCUUUCAGCAGGGAAGAAGCGAAAGUGACGGUACCUGCAGAAGAAGCACCGGCUAACUACGUGCCAGCAGCCGCGGUAAUACGUAGGGUGCGAGCGUUGUCCGGAAUUAUUGGGCGUAAAGAGCUUGUAAGCGGUUUGUCGCGUCUGCAGUGAAAAUCCGAGGCUCAACCUCGGACUUGCUGUGGGUACGGGCAGACUAGAGUAUGGGAGGGGAGACCCGGAUUCCUGGUGUAGCGGUGGAAUGCGCAUAUAUCACGAGGAACACCGAUGGCGAAGGGCAGGUCUCUGGGCCAUAACUGACGCUGAAAAGCGAAAGCAUGGGGAGCGAACAGGAUUAGAUACCCUGGUAGUCCCUGCCGUAAACGU
rnacentral:rRNA from 1 species